rnacentral:rRNA from 1 species
AACAGGAUUAGAUACCCUGGUAGUCCACGCCGUAAACGAUGAUUACUCGAAGUAUGCGAUAUGACAGUAUGCUUCCAAGCGAAAGUGAUAAGUAAUCCACCUGGGGAGUACGCCGGCAACGGUGAAACUCAAAGGAAUUGACGGGGGCCCGCACAAGCGGAGGAACAUGUGGUUUAAUUCGAUGAUACGCGAGGAACCUUACCCGGGAUUGAAAUGUAUGUGAGCCUCUUGUGAAAGCGAGAGGGUUCUCUUCGGAGACACAUAUGUAGGUGCUGCAUGGUUGUCGUCAGCUCGUGCCGUGAGGUGUCGGCUUAAGUGCCAUAACGAGCGCAACCCUUAUCGUCAGUUACUAACAGGUGAUGCUGAGGACUCUGGCGAGACUGCCGUCGUAAGGCGAGAGGAAGGUGGGGAUGACGUCAAAUCAGCACGGCCCUUACAUCCGGGGCGACACACGUGUUACAAUGGUAGGGACAGAGAGUAGCCACUCGGUGACGAGGAGCGGAUCUUGAAACCCUAUCUCAGUUCGGAUCGGAGUCUGCAACUCGACUCCGUGAAGCCGGAUUCGCUAGUAAUCGCGCAUCAGCCAUGGCGCGGUGAAUACGUUCCCGGGCCUUGUACACACCGCCCGUCAAGCCAUGGAAGUUGGGGGUACCUGAAGUGCGUGACCGCAAGGAGCGUCCGAGGGUAAAUCCAGUGACUGGGGCUAAGUCGUAACAAGGUAACC